GAUGAACGCUAGCGGCAGGCCUAAUACAUGCAAGUCGGACGGGAUUUGGGAGCUUGCUCCUGAUGAGAGUGGCGCACGGGUGCGUAACACGUAUGUAACCUACCUUUACCAGGGGGAUAGCCUCUCGAAAGAGAGAUUAAGACCGCAUAACAUAAUUGAAUGGCAUCAUUUAAUUAUCAAAUAUUUAUAGGGUAAAGAUGGCAUGCGGAACAUUAGCUAGNGGUGAGGUAACGGCCCACCAAGGCUACGAUGUUUA
rnacentral:rRNA from 1 species